CCUACGGGGGGCUGCAGUCGAGAAUCUUCGGCAAUGGGCGCAAGCCUGACCGAGCGACGCCGCGUGUGGGAUGAAGGCCUUCGGGUUGUAAACCACUGUUAGAGGGGAUGAAAUGCAGGUGGGUUCUCCCAUCUGUUUGACAUAGCCUCAGAGGAAGGACGGGCUAAGUUCGUGCCAGCAGCCGCGGUAAGACGAACCGUCCAAACGUUAUUCGGAAUCACUGGGCUUAAAGGGUGCGUAGGCGGCGCGGCAAGUUGGGUGUGAAAUACCUCGGCUCAACCGAGGAACUGCGCCCAAAACUGCCGUGCUCGAGGAAGAUAGAGGUGAGCGGAACUUAGGGUGGAGCGGUGAAAUGCGUUGAUAUCCUAAGGAACACCGGUGGCGAAAGCGGCUCACUGGAUCUUUUCUGACGCUGAGGCGCGAAAGCUAGGGUAGCGAACGGGCUUAGAUACCCUGGUAGUC
rnacentral:rRNA from 1 species